rnacentral:rRNA from 1 species
GCGAGUGAGCGGCAACAGCUCAAUUUGAAAUCUGGCUCCUUUGGGGUCCGAGUUGGCUUAGCAUGCUUCGCUUUGGCAUCCUUCGCAGUCUAAGUUCCUUGGAACACGUCAUCGGAGAGGGUGAGAAUCGCGUGCGCGCCUACCUGGCUUUGCCGUGCUUCGCCCCUUCGACUAGUCUGGUUGUGUGGCAAUGCAUGUCUAGAUGGGAGGUUAAUUUCUUCUAAAGCUAACUAACGCCCAUAGACCGAUAGCGCACAGAUCGAGUGAUCAAAAGAUGAAUAGAACUGUGGAAAGAGAGUCAAAGAAAUUGUGAAAUUGUAAAGAGGGAAGCCCUUGCUUCCGGACUUGGCCGCACCCGCUCUCCCCGGCUGCGCACUCGGCCACUCUCCUGCGGCCAGGCCAUCUUCCGGGUGGACGGGUGGACUGAGACCUCUGCUACGUAUCUCCUGUCGUAGUGAUCUUAUAAGUGAGGCGCAUGCACCAGGCCGACUACGCCGGCCCUGGUUGGGGGUAGGGGAAGGC